rnacentral:rRNA from 1 species
GACGAACGCUGGCGGCGUGCUUAACACAUGCAAGUCGAACGGAAAGGCCCUGCUUUUGUGGGGUGCUCGAGUGGCGAACGGGUGAGUAACACGUGAGUAACCUGCCCUUGACUUUGGGAUAACUUCAGGAAACUGGGGCUAAUACCGGAUAGGAGCUCCUGCUGCAUGGUGGGGGUUGGAUAGUUUCGGCGGUUGGGGAUGGACUCGCGGCUUAUCAGCUUGUUGGUGGGGUAGUGGCUUACCAAGGCCUUGACGGGUAGCCGGCCUGAGAGGGUGACCGGCCACAUUGGGACUGGGAUACGGCCCAGACUCCUACGGGAGGCGGCGGUGGGGAAUAUUGCACAAUGGGCGGAAGCCUGAUGCAGCAACGCCGCGUGCGGGAUGACGGCCUUCGGGUUGUAAACCGCUUUCGCCUGUGACGAAGCGUGAGUGACGGUAAUGGGUAAAGAAGCACCGGCUAACUACGUG